rnacentral:tRNA from 1 species
AACCUAUUAGCUCAAAUGGAAGAGCAUUUGCUAUGCGCAAGAUGUGGGUUCGAUUCCCACAUAGGUUA